UAUAGAAUGCCGUGGAAAGUGUUUUCCAUAUAGGUACAUUUGCAGUACCAAGAGACCAAAUGCAGUACUAUAAGGCAAUCCAUGAGGACUUUCCACGAUAGGACUGACAGCUAAAAUAGUGCAUGCAACCGAAACAGAAGGGUAAACAAAACAUGCGAGUCUUACUAGAGCUUAACAUUUUCCUUUGUAAGCGAACGGUCACUCCGAUCGCGAAACGUCAGAAGCUCAUGGUAAACAUAAAACCAGCUGAUCACAUCUGUCUCAUGGAUUGCCUUAUUGGGCUCUACCCAUCAUUCUCUCUCUUUCACUCCUCUAUAAAAUUUUUAAUCAACAAGGCCAGUAAACGUCAAAAUGCUAGAUAAAAUCUAAAUAGUGCAGAGCCCCCUUGAGUGGUACCCAUUCUGAUCCUGACUACUAUGUCUCUUUUGUACCUUUUACUAUUAGUUUUAUCCAAAGGCAUGGAACAACAGUUUGUUUCAAAUACCGAACAUUAAUAUGAUGUGGUUUUACUGACCUCGAAACUAGUAAAACACUACAAUUUCCAGGGUAUAAAACAGGUUUAAACAGAAUAAAAUUGAGUUACAAUUAACUGCAUGAUUCUUGCAACGGUAUCUAAGUUACAAGACAAGACUUAGUUACAAGACAUUUUCAGCCAUUGUAUAAUUUUGGUUGGAAAAUGGCUUUCAAGACCGCUGCAGAACCGUGAUAAAACCAGUUAAUCAAUUGUCGACCGACACGCGGAACCAAAUACAUUGUCCUCUCCUAUUUUUGUUAUCACAACCUGAACAGAAUAUGACAAUGAUCGCGCACCGCAUGCGAAGCUCUAAGCUUUGCUUUGUAAUUUUCGAGAACUUUCUCCGUGUUGGUCAAAUCAAAUAACGACCAUAAAACAACUUUUCUUUUAUGUUCAAUAUUGUUGAAGUUGCAACAAUGUUGAACCCUUUAUUUGUCAUGACCAUUUUUAUUAAAAUUGUAUCUCAAUGCGCAAAAUUUGAGACAAACGAUUGUAAGCGCGCUUGCUUUGUUUGUUUUGCGUCUGCUUCGAUGACAAUUUGAUUCACUGGAUAGAACUGUUCUGUUUGAUAGAAUUCAUGUAUCAGGUAUGAAUGUUUCCAGGAAAUAUAGCUAAAAAAAGCUCACCAGAACUACAUUGAAGGACUGUACACAAAUUGUUGAAAAAUUUGGUAAUAUUCCUCUUGAAGCUAUUGGAAAUAAGCUGAAAGAUAAUCUUCCUGAAGAAAAUGCUUGGCGCCUUCUCAGCAAGCGGUUUAAUACGAAUGGCAAAUUACACAAGAUCCCUUAUGUAGCUACUGUUGUUUUAGAUCUAGAAUGCUAGACUUCAGGGCUCUUAAAAGACAACAAUGAGAUCCCACGGAUUGCAAUUGAGCUAUAUUACUUUGACCGCAUUUUGCUUCGGUUUUCAAAGAACGGAAGUCUUUCCAUAAAAAACGCGUCGUUCCGUCAAAGGACGGAUGUCUUUCCGUCAAAGGACGAAUGUCUUUCCGUCAAAGGACAGAUAUCUUUCCGUCAAAGGACGGACGUCUUUCCGUCAAAAGACUGAUGUCUUUUCGUAUACGAAAGACGAAAGUAUCCUUCAAAGAACGGAAGUCUUUCCGUCAAAGUACAGGAGUCUUCUGUCAAAGGAUGGAAGUCUGGCCGUUGAAGGACCGAACUCUUUCUAUCAAAAGGCGGAAGUCUUUCCGACAAAGAACGGAUGUCUUUCCGUCAAAAAACGGAUGUCUUUCCCUCAAAAGACGAAAGUCUUUUCGUAACAGGACGAAAGUCUCCUUCAAAAUAUUGAAGUCUUUCCGUCAAAGAACUGUAACUCACAGCUUAUCACCGGCAGCUACAGUCAGCUUAAGGAGGGUUCACAGAAGGUGACACUUCCCAGCGGCUGACGAGCGCUGUAUACCCUUCAUCUGUAGGGUCGGCACGCUUAUCCUUGCUGUUUCGCGGAAUUCAGGAAAACAAUUGGGUUGCCUUUCCACACUCCUGUUUAUUCUUCUUCUUCUCUCUCUCUUUCUCACUCUCUCUCCUUUUAUAUAACCUUGCUAUCUACCUACACUCUACAUAACCAACUUUCUUAGGACUAUUCUGACCUUAGUAUUCUUGCCUCUUCAGGGGCCCCAUUCUUGUGCUGGCGUCAUCUUCUGGUCCUUUUCCAGUAAUUUCGCGACCUUUGCCGCCUAACUGCACCACACCAUGAUCGGCUUGAAGAAUGGGCCUGGGAUGACUUCAACCCAUUGUCUUCUGGUCUUCGGCCUGGUGUAGCGAUGGCCGAAUCUGUUGCCCAGUUUUGAAGUAAACCAAACAUCACACUCACUGUCCCACCUCUAUCACUGGUGGGAAUAAUAGGGCAAAUAACCGAUAUUGAGUCAUCGAGAAUCUACAUGGCCCCCAGUUGCUACCAAUGCAUGAUACCAAUCGGCUUUUGCAUACGCCAUCUAUUUGUCAAGUAUAGUAGACAUUGUUUUGGCUGCGUGCUCAUCGGAUGACCAAACAAGAAGGAAAUACACAACACAAACGCUUUCCUGAAUUAAGAACAUUCAAAUAAUACGAAAACUACACUAACCGCGACAAAUCCCCGAUAACCUGCUGACGGGGUACUAGAAGGUUGAUAAAGUUCAAUGAAGUUUAUUGAGUUCCUUACCAGAACAUCAAACUUUGCAAUCACUACAAAAUUUUCGAAAUUAUUCAAAAACAAAUAAUAAUUAUUAUUAUUUGCCAAAAUAACAUCAAACGGAUCCAAAAAUAUAUGAGAGAAAUAUCGGAAUUCUUAAAGACCGUUUAGUAAUAUUCCGGUUUAUUAUAAUUUUGACUGAAUGUUUUAUUAAAUUCCGUUGAAAAUGGUUCAACUCUCCAGGGUUAUUCUAUCGAUGGACUUCACAUCGUCAACGAGUCUCCUAAAAGACAAAUAACGUACCUCUAUAUCGAUUCCGAUUUGAAAUCUUCAAUCUUAUCACUUUGUUGCUCAAUUCCAAUCUUGUCACCAUUGUCGCUCGCCUUAUCUUCAAUAGAAAAAAAGAUAACUUCCGCAAUCGACGAGAAAAUCUCUGUACAUAUAUUCCACUUGCGUUAAGAUAGUUUUCAUCGAGAAAAUUCAAACUUUUCUGUUUUGUACAUAUGAAAAAUAAAACAUAGAAAUAAGGGAAAAACCGUAGAAUUAGCAUACAACAUUUUCCAAGAGUACACCAUUUACGCUUCAGCCUGUGACUAAGAUGUAGAACCAAAGCGAGGGAGACGGACCGAGUAAAGAGCUAGGGAAAUAGGAAAUCCAUUAAUCAUAUCUAGGGAAAUGAAUUGAACUAACUUCGGUUUGAGGUUCGUAAAACUGUU
rnacentral:lncRNA from 1 species